UUUUAUAUUAGUAAAUUAAAUUAUAUUUUAAAUUAAAAUUAAUAUAAAAUACUGGACUUAAAUUUUUUAAAACAUGUUUUUAAAACAAGUAUUAUAAUAAUCAAAACAAAAAAAAUUGAAAAAAAAAUUGAGUUAAUAAUUGGUAAUUCAUACUGAAAAAUGUUUAUAUUAUAAAAUAUUUUUUUGACUCAUCAUGUUACAAAAGUACAGACUCAGUCUUUCUUAAUUCAGUUUCAGUUCAGUUUUAUUGUACAUUUGUAUUGUAAAAGCAUUUGAAAUAAUAAAGUAUCACCAGUAAAAUAAUAGAUCAAGUAAGAAAUCAGUUGUAUGUUCUCAUCGUUUCAGUACAUUAAAACUCUUGGCUGGUGUUUUCUUUUCCUCCCAACACAGAAGAAGACUCGCAUGUAAAAUCCCCGUCAUAACUCACAUCUCUCCAUCUGCGCUGAAUUUGUGCUGAUGAAAUCAGUCUGAGAUUAGCUGGCAUUAGAUGAACCGCUCACAUUGGUCCUUUAUUUGCCUGAAUGAUCUAAUCUCUGCAUUAACAGUAUUGCUUCUGUCUACAUAAAGUUUGUUCCUGUUUGUACAGUGGGGAAAAGCAAGUACAGCACCCAGAGAUGCAGAAGAGUUCAUGGAAAGAGCAGAACCAGUGUCAUCAGAAGUACAGGAGUGAGAGAGAUCUGGAUCAACACACACACAUACACACACACACUGGUGGGAUCUCUUAUGUUCGUUAGGAGUGUGUUGACUAAGGCAUGUGUAAAACUCCAUCACUAAGAGUAGAAUGACUGCAGUCUGUAGAGAGUCGAGCAGAAUUCAGAAUGGAAGUGGAACUGAGCUGCAAACAGGAUGCAAAAUUGACAUAUAUAUAUAUAUAUAUAUAUAUACAUAAAAACAAAUUAAGUACAGUUUUAAAGUAAAUAAUACAUUUCAUUUUUCUAUAUGAAUUACCCAUACACAUUUUAUAUAAUAGAAAAUGUAUACAACAAAAGUUUAUUUUGGAUGUAUUAAUAGAAUGUGAAAGUUGUAUGGUGUGAGCUACAGCUUUGUGUAAUAAUAUUAAACUUGAUGCAUUGAUUUUUAAACAGCUUUGAUUCAUUUCAUGGGUCAUAAAAGUGAAUAUUAAGUUAGCUUUUUUUCCAAUUGUAUUUUUCCAUUUGAAGUACCCAUAAACAUUUUAUAUCAUAAAAAGCUGUCAGAAACAGUAGGUUUUUUUUUUUUUAUACUUCAUUGUAUUUAGUUAUAAAUAUAUAUUUAGUUAAAUAAAACUAAAGUAUUGAUAGUAUUUUUUAUUUAAUUUUUUAUUUAUAAUAAUAUUGUAUAUAAAUA
rnacentral:lncRNA from 1 species